UACAGAGGUCUCAAGCGUUGUUCGGAUUCAUUGGGCGUAAAGGGUGCGUAGGCGGCGCGGUAAGUCGGGUGUGAAAUCUCGGAGCUUAACUCCGAAACUGCAUUCGAUACUGCCGUGCUUGAGGACUGGAGAGGAGACUGGAAUUUACGGUGUAGCGGUGAAAUGCGUAGAUAUCAGGAGGAAUACCGAUGGCGAAGGCAGGUCUCUGGGCUGACACUGACGCUCAUGCACGAAAGCGUGGGGAGCAAACAGG
rnacentral:rRNA from 1 species